rnacentral:rRNA from 1 species
GUAGGUGGCAAGCGCUGUCCGGAAUUAUUGGGCGUAAAGCGCGCGCAGGCGGUUCUUUAAGUCUGAUGUGAAAGCCCACGGCUCAACCGUGGAGGGUCAUUGGGAACUGGAGAACUUGAGUACAGAAGAGGAAAGCGGAAUUCCACGUGUAGCGGUGAAAUGCGUAGAGAUGUGGAGGAACACCAGUGGCGAAGGCGGCUUUCUGGUCUGUAACUGACGCUGAGGCGCGAAAGCGUGGGGGAGCAAACAGGAUUAGAUACCCUGGUAGUCCACGCCGUAAACGAUGAGUGCUAAGUGUUAGGGGGUUUCCGCCCCUUAGUGCUGCAGCUAACGCAUUAAGCACUCCGCCUGGGAGUACGGCCGCAAGGCUG